rnacentral:rRNA from 1 species
GACAGAGGGGCCAAGCGUUAGGCGGAAUCACUGGGCUUAAAGCGCACGUAGGCGGAUUUGUAAGUCAGGGGUGAAAUCCCGGGGCUCAACCUCGGAACUGCCUUUGAUACUGCAAAUCUCGAGUCCGGAAGAGGUGAGUGGAAUUCCUAGUGUAGAGGUGAAAUUCGUAGAUAUUAGGAAGAACACCAGUGGCGAAGGCGGCUCACUGGUCCGGUACUGACGCUGAGGUGCGAAAGCGUGGGGAGCAAACAGG